GUCUUUGAGGGGUGGGACAACUAUCCUCCUGCCUGAGUUUGUAAGUUCAGAACAGGCAUUUUUACAGUUAUAAAUCAAAAGUUACAUGUUACCUUAUAGCAUGGGAUACAGACAUUACAAGUAAGAUUAAUGCAUGCAGCAACUUACAAGCAUUUUACACAUCCUUACAAGUCUAACACCUAUCCUGAACAAUACUAACCUGCAGAUGAGCUGGUCUGGUUUCCAGCUACGAAUUUGUCAGUGCUCAUUUGACGCCUACAGCUUUGGCAAGAGCUGGAACCUAGUCUACCAGUGUCAUAUUUUUAUAUCACCAAAAACAGUGGGCUCUAAUCUAUAUGGGGUCUCUGUGUGUUCUCACAAUAUAGAUUAUUUCUUUAAAAAGUAAGAUAUUUUCAUAACACUCCAAAAUACUGUGCUUGGACUAGAUUGGAUUUAACUACUUAUUUUAAUAAAACCACCUUGGCUACUCUUGCAUUGCCAAGUUUAGUUAUUUGUACAUAUUGCUUCUCAAACACAACAGUUCUUUUGAGAGAAAUUGCCAUGAUUAAAUCAGAUUCUGAAGUACAGUAGUUGUUUUACAAUCCAUGAAUAAAAUGUGAUUGGAUUUUUUGCUCUGUAGAGUGGGAGCUUAAAGCUGUUCAUUAGUGUACUGAAAAUUACUAGUAUGGGCUUUAAAGAAGAGCUAUGCUCUCUGGUGGCUUUGUUUAGAUGCUAGAAUUGGGGCUUUUCCAUUAAGUUUAAAAUUCAUCUCUCUCCAGGCACUCAGUGUAAAGGUGUAAUCAUUGAUCAGCCUGGUAUUCUUAAUUCAGAAGCUUAACCAUAAGGAAAAUGGCUAUAUAUCUAAAGGAGUAGAAGGUCUAAGAAACUAGUUCAUUGUGGAUAUUUUAUGAUGAUCUCUGUUGAUCAGCAGAAUCCCUCAUAAUGGUACAUUACACCCUUACAAGGAGGAAAGUGUUUUGUUCAUCGACCCAUGUUUCACUAGCUACCAGAAUUUGGAACAGGGAAAUCUCUCAGUUGAUAUUGGAGAACAGCCAGAUAAAAGGAUAAAGAGCCAACAGCGUGAAGCAGUUGUUUUUCUGGCAAAUAGUUUCUGUAUAUGCUCAUCUUAAAAUUAGAAACAAAUCUGAGUUGGGGUAGUUUCUUGUUUAGUAUGUUAAAUUCUGAGUCGACGCUCAUGAAUAUAACAAAGUCAUGUCUGUGGUGAGAACUGCUGCUGUUUCCGACUGUCUUUGCAGUUACAUAGUGAAUCAGUGGCUCCUUUCCUAUUCAGGAAUGUAAACGCUUUCCAAAUUGCUCAGUUGCAAUUGGACACCAUUGUUUGUCGUUCCUGAACUUUAUACUUAAUUUCAGAACUUAAAAAAAAAAAAAAAGAAUGAGACUGUUUUUUUGUUUUUCACUAACAUUUGCAUUUGUCAUUGCUGUGCAAGUUUAGUGUUAUUUCCAGGUAAUGGGAUCUAGACUUGGAUGAAAGACUUUAUGCCCAAAGGGAAUUGUAAUGGGUGGAAUUUUUUGUUAGUUUAUAUUCGAUCUUCUACAAUUAAGAGCAUAAAACAAAACAGUUAUAAUGUAAAUAAACAGCCUCCUGAUAAAUAAUUUAAUGUAACACAUAGUGUACAGUAUGGAAAAUAUUGAUCAAAAUUCCACA